GGGCGAUUAGCUCAGNUGGGAGAGCACCUGCCUUACAAGCAGGGGGUCACUGGUUCGAACCGGUAUCGCCCA
rnacentral:tRNA from 1 species